CUCUUCUCAUGAGCUCCUCUCUUGUCUGGUUGGUGACAGAGUACGGAUUCGCAAGAGAAGUAAACCAAACACAAUUUGACCUCCCAGCUUCCCCUGCCUUGCGGGGAAAUGCUCUCUAGGUCUAUUGUGACACGU
rnacentral:snoRNA from 1 species